rnacentral:rRNA from 2 species
UGGUUUUUUCAUGUUGUCAAAGAGUUGAACAAUGAAAAUAGAUGGCGAGUGCCUGAUCAAUUCGAUCAGGUCAUGUAGGAACAAGGUUCAAGUCUACCGGUCUGUUAGGAUGCCUCAGCUGCAUACAUCACUGCACUUCCACUUGACACCUAUCGUAAUGAUAAACGGCUCGUCUCGCCGUGACCUUC